rnacentral:lncRNA from 1 species
AUGCUCAAAAUUCUCCAAGCCAGGCUUCAGCAAUAUGUGAACCAUGAACUCCCUGAUGUUCAAGCUGGCUUUAGAAAAGGCAGAGGAACCAGAGAUCAAAUUGCCAACAUCUGCUGGAUCAUGGAAAAAGCAAGAGAGUUCCAGAAAAACAUCUAUUUCUGCUUUAUUGACUAUGCCAAAGCCUUUGACUGUGUGGAUCACAAUAAACUGUGGAAAAUUCUGAGAGAGAUGGGAAUACCAGACCACCUGACCUGUCUCUUGAGAAAUCUGUAUGCAGGUCAGGAAGCAGCAGUUAGAACUGGACAUGGAACAACAGACUGGUUCCAAAUAGGAAAAGGAGUACAUCAAGGCUGUAUAUUCUUACCCUGCUUAUUUAACUUAUAUGCAGAGUACAUCAUGAGAAACGCUGGACUGGAAGAAACACAAGCUGGAAUCAAGAUUGCCGGGACAAAUAUCAAUAACCUCAGGUAUGCAGAUGACACCACCCUUAUGGCAGAAAGUGAAGAGGAACUAAAACGCCUCUUGAUGAAAGUGAAAGAGGAGAGUGAAAAAGUUGGCUUAAAGCUCAACAUUCAGAAAACAAACAUCAUGGCAUCCGGUCCCAUCACUUCAUGGGAAAUAGAUGGGGAAAUAGUGGAAACAGUGUCAGACUUUAUUUUUGGGGGCUCCAAAAUCACUGCAGAUGGUGAUUGCAGCCAUGAAAUUAAAAGACACUUACUCCUUGGAAGAAAAGUUAUGACCACUCUAGAUAGCAUAUUCAAAAGCAGAGACAUUACUUUGCCGACUAAGGUCCGUCUAGUCAAGGCUAUGGUUUUUCCUGUGGUCAUGUAUGGAUGUGAGAGUUGGACUGUGAAGAAGCCUGAGCACCGAAGACUUGAUGCUUUUGAACUGUGGUGUUGGAGAAGACUCUUGAGACUCCCUUGGACUGCAAGGAAAUCCAACCAGUCCAUUCUGAAGGAGAUCAGUCCUGGGAUUUCUUUGGAAGGAAUGAUGCUAAAGCUGAAACUCCAGGACUUUGGCCACCUCAUGCGAAGAGUUGACUCAUUGGGAAAGACUCUGAUGCUGGGAGGGAUUGGGGGCAGGAGGAGAAGGGGACGACAGAGGAUGAGAUGGCUGGAUGGCAUCACUGACUCGAUGAACAUGAGUCUGAGUGAACUUGGGGAGAUGGUGAUGAACAGGGAGGCCUGGCGUGCUGUGAUUCAUGGGGUCGCAAAGAGUCGGACACGACUGAGCGACUGA